rnacentral:rRNA from 1 species
AGUGAACGCUGGCGGUAGGCCUAACACAUGCAAGUCGAACGGCAGCACAGGAGAGCUUGCUCUCUGGGUGGCGAGUGGCGGACGGGUGAGGAAUACAUCGGAAUCUACUUUUUCGUGGGGGAUAACGUAGGGAAACUUACGCUAAUACCGCAUACGACCUACGGGUGAAAGCAGGGGAUCUUCGGACCUUGCGCGAUUGAAUGAGCCGAUGUCGGAUUAGCUAGUUGGCGGGGUAAAGGCCCACCAAGGCGACGAUCCGUAGCUGGUCUGAGAGGAUGAUCAGCCACACUGGAACUGAGACAUGGUCCAGACUCCUACGGGAGGCAGCAGUGGGGAAUAUUGGACAAUGGGCGCAAGCCUGAUCCAGCCAUACCGCGUGGGUGAAGAAGGCCUUCGGGUUGUAAAGCCCUUUUGUUGGGAAAGAAAUCGAGCUGGUUAAUACCCGGUUGGGAUGACGGUACCCAAAGAAUAAGCACCGGCUAACUUCGUGCCAGCAGCCGCCGUAA